rnacentral:rRNA from 1 species
AUGCCUUUGCCUGUACCUAGUGUUCCUUGGGAGGAUAUAUCUAUGGACUUUGUUUUAGGUUUACCUCGAACAAAGAAGGGGAGGGAUAGCAUAUUUGUUGUCGUGGAUAGAUUCUCGAAAAUGGCACACUUUAUACCAUGUCAUAAAAGUGAUGAUGCUGUUAAUGUUGCUGAUUUGUUCUUUCGUGAAAUUAUUCGCUUGCAUGGUGUGCCAAAUACUAUUGUUUCAGAUCGUGAUACCAAAUUUCUUAGCCACUUUUGGAGAUGUUUAUGGGCUAAGUUGGGGACUAAACUGCUUUUUAGUACUACUUGUCACCCCCAAACUGAUGGACAAACUGAAGUAGUCAAUAGAACGUUGUCUACUAUGCUUAGGGCUGUUUUGAAGAAUAAUAAGAAAAUGUGGGAGGAAUGCUUGCCUCAUAUUGAAUUUGCUUAUAAUCGUUCAUUGCAUUCUACUACUAAGAUGUGCCCUUUUGAAGUUGUGUAUGGUUUCCUACCUCGUGCACCUAUUGAUUUGUUGCCUCUUCCAUCUUCGGAGAAGGUUAAUUUUGAUGCUAAACAACGUGCUGAAUUGAUUUUAAAAAUGCAUGAGUUAACUAAGGAAAACAUUGAGCGUAUGAAUGCUAAAUAUAAACUUGCUGGAGAUAAGGGUAGAAAACAUGUUGUGUUUGCACCUGGAGAUCUUGUGUGGUUACAUUUGCGUAAGGAUAGAUUUCCUGAUUUGCGCAAAUCAAAGUUAAUGCCACGUGCUGAUGGUCCCUUUAAGGUGUUAGAGAAAAUAAAUGAUAAUGCAUAUAAACUUGAGCUGCCUGCAGAUUUUGGGGUUAGUCCCACUUUUAACAUUGCAGAUUUGAAGCCUUAUUUGGGUGAGGAAGAUGAACUUCCGUCGAGGACGACUUCAUUUCAAGAAGGGGAGGAUGAUGAGGACAUCAAUACAAUUGUUACACACACAGCCCCUGCUGCUAUACAUACUGGACCAAUUACUAGAGCUCGUGCACGCCAACUAAAUUACCAGGUACUUUCGUUUCUUGGUAAUGAUUCUAAUGUUCAUGAGAAUAUGAUGCUGCCUAAAUUGGAUACAUUUGUUUUGCUUACAAAUGAAGGGCCUAGCUUGGAGAAGGAUGAACAUUGGAGCAAGAACAAGCAUGGAGAUGAUGGCAUGCGCAAGGGGAACAAGAACGGAGUUACAAGUGAUGAUUUCAGGACUUUGAAGCCACCAUAA